rnacentral:rRNA from 2 species
UAAAGACGAUGACGUUGAUAGGCCGGGUGUGUAAGCGCAGCGAUGCGUUGAGCUAACCGGUACUAAUGAACCGUGAGGCUUAACCUU